ACCUCAUGCAACUUUUAAUAUAACUUUUACCUCUAAAAUACUUGUAGCCUUAUGGUUACACAAUAAACUACAGUAUUUUAGUUAAGUCAUACCUUUUAUUAUUAUAUGAUCAUAUCUGAAUAAUACUAUCAUUGUGGUUGCACAACAAGGUAGCAGUACCCAAAUAUGCUAUAAGCAUCACCAAGUCAACAUCACAUCAAAUCCUAUAGCAAGUCUUGUGGUUGC
rnacentral:lncRNA from 1 species